CAUUUCCAGUUCCAUUAUAUCCAGCAUAAAAACUGAAUGACCGUUCAACCAAUUCCUCAACUGAGUUUCUGCUAUUAAUAUAAUUAGUGUGUUUGCUUUCGUCUGCCAAAAAAGCAAGCUUCAAAUUUCCUCGACCAACUUCUAUAGUAGAUUGCUCACUUCUUUGAAAUGUGUAUGCAGAUGAUUUGGUUAAAUGAGCACCUCCACUUUUGGAACCUGAGAUUUUGUAAGUGUUGAAACCAAAAGGCGGAACAGAUACCAUAAAUGCAAGCCAAUACUUGGGUGUAUCCAUUGGCGGUUUACCCAAGUAUGCCUGAACAU
rnacentral:misc_RNA from 1 species